rnacentral:rRNA from 1 species
UACGUAGGGCGCAAGCGUUGUCCGGAAUUAUUGGGCGUAAAGAGCUCGUAGGCGGUUUGUCACGUCUGCUGUGAAAACGCGAGGCUCAACCUCGCGCCUGCAGUGGGUACGGGCAGACUAGAGUGCGGUAGGGAGAUUGGAAUUCCUGGUGUAGCGGUGGAAUGCGCAGAUAUCAGGAGGAACACCGGUGGCGAAGGCGGCCCUCUGGACGGUGACUGACGCUGAGACGCGAAAGCGUGGGGAGCAAACAGG